UGUCUCCCCCCUCUAAUCAGUGAAACUGAUCUCCCCGUGAAGAAGCGGGGAUAUACAUAUAAGACGAGAAGACCCCAUGGAGCUUUAAACCUGACAGCACCCGCUCAUUCUAUACCCCAUUAUUUGCCCGACCCCUGUCUGCUCAGUUUUAGGUUGGGGUGACCACGGAGUAUAAAAUAACCUCCAUGAAGAAGGGGAUAUUUCCCUUAUUAGAGAACUACACUUCCAAGAACUAAUAAAUUAAUUUUCAAUGACCCGAUACCCGAUAAUCGAUCAACGAACCAAGUUACCCUGGGGAUAACAGCGCAAUCCACCCUGAAAGCCCUUAUUAACAGGUGGGUUUACGACCUCGAUGUUGGAUCAGGGUAUCCCAGUGGUGCAGCAGCUACUGAGGGUUCGUUUGUUCAACGAUUAAAACCCU
rnacentral:rRNA from 1 species